rnacentral:rRNA from 1 species
UACAGAGGGUGCUAGCGUUGUUCGGAAUCAUUGGGCGUAAAGGGCGUGUAGGCGGUUUGUUAAGUCAUGUGUGAAAUCCCUCGGCUCAACCGGGGAACGACGCAUGAAACUGGCAAGCUAGAGUACCAAAGAGGGCGGUGGAAUUCCCGGUGUAGCGGUGAAAUGCGUAGAUAUCUGCAGGAACACCCGUGGCGAAAGCGGCGCGCUGGACCACUACUGACGCUGAGGAACGAAAGCUAGGGGAGCAAACAGG